UUCUGUUGCUAGGGCCGCGGGUGUCCAAGGUUACCGAAUACUGGUUAGCGCUACGGCUGGAGUCACCCCACCACCGAUAAAGGCUCAGAACGCGGCUGGAGUGUCCAUCCUCCCCCUCGGGUCGGACCGGGCAGGUCCCCCCUGCCCGGCGCGCUGUUCUGGCUCCCCCGCAGCCGCCUGCCGACCAGGCCAUAAAUACCCCGGCGAUUAUUAAACAAACCUUGACGUGGCGGCCGGCUGCCAGGGACCCGGGGCUAGCGUCGGAGCAACGCCCCGCCCCCCACUCCUCGCUCCCAGCCUGGGGACCUUGGGGACCCACCCCUACCGCGACCUCCUCCCACCCAGCGCCGUGGCGUAACGGGCCCGAGGCGAAGGCACAGAAGCGUCGAAACUCCGACUUGUGCUACCCUCUGGAGGACACCCAGACCCUGGGGUGGGGGGCUGCUGUGGGACCCUGCGCUGGGAACCGCAGGGCACCUAACCCGGGGCUGCACCCCGUACUGGGUGGCAGUGCGUACGUAGGAAAGCAAGUUAACUUCAUGAAAAUUUUGAGUAGACUUUUUGGCAACCA